rnacentral:rRNA from 1 species
CUACGGGAGGCACCAGUGGGGAAUAUUGGACAAUGGGCGCAAGCCUGAUCCAGCCAUGCCGCGUGAGUGAUGAAGGCCCUAGGGUUGUAAAGCUCUUUCACCGGUGAAGAUAAUGACGGUAACCGGAGAAGAAGCCCCGGCUAACUUCGUGCCAGCAGCCGCGGUAAUACGAAGGGGGCUAGCGUUGUUCGGAUUUACUGGGCGUAAAGCGCACGUAGGCGGACUAUUAAGUCAGGGGUGAAAUCCCGGGGCUCAACCCCGGAACUGCCUUUGAUACUGGUAGUCUGAGUUCGAGAGAGGUGAGUGGAAUUCCGAGUGUAGAGGUGAAAUUCGUAGAUAUUCGGAGGAACACCAGUGGCGAAGGCGGCUCACUGGCUCGAUACUGACGCUGAGGUGCGAAAGCGUGGGGAGCAAACAGGAUUAGAUACCCCUGUAGUC